rnacentral:misc_RNA from 1 species
GAUGAAGAACGUAGCGAAAUGCGAUACUUGGUGUGAAUUGCUGAAUCCCGUGAACCAUCGAGUCUUUGAACGCAAGUUGCGCCCGAAGCCAUUAGGCCGAGGGCACGCCUGCCUGGGCGUCACACGUCGUUGCCCCCCCCAUCUACUCCUUCGGGAUUGCGGGGGGCGGAUGAUGGUCUCCCGUGCAACUCGUCGCGCGGUUGGCAUAAAUGCCAAGUCCUCGGCGACGCACGCCACGACAAUCGGUGGUUGCGAAACCUCGGUUGCCCGUCGUGUGCGGUCGUCGCGCAUCGAGGGCUCGAAAAAAUUGCCGGGCUCCGGCUCGGCUUUCAACGCGACCCCAGGUCAGGCGGGGUUACCCGCUGAAUUUAAGCAUAUCAAUAAGCGGAGGA